CCGAUAUUUAUCCAUAUUUUUUUACUCUUGUCGUGUUCCAGACAAUGACUGUUAACAGGCAGUUCAGCGCCGACUUCGGCUCCGAUAAAUAUUGCCAGCUCUACUGACCAGACGAAUCACACUAACAGCAGCAGCCUCUACAUUAAAAUGUACAGCUCCUGUGGCAGUUCACAGUAUGUACAAUUCAUUCUACAAUGGCAGCUACAUCCCUAUUUCCCACGACGUGGCCCUGUUACUGAUCAAAUUUAUCAAUUGUUUUCGUGCGGUGGACACUUUGCACGAUGUUCUUACGAUUGAGAUUUUGAACAAGGAGAAAAUCAAGGAAUCUGUUCAUUACGAAAUUAUUUCAACCUCAAACAAAAUGAAAAUUAACGAGCCUAUUGAAAGAACCGUAUCGCGGAUGAGAUAUAAGAACUUAAAUAUUCUUCAAAGGAGGUCAUCAGGUUAUUCAUCAGAGUCAGGAGUACCUAUAUAUCACUCUAUCAACUGACGAACAAAUUACACAGUUGAAAGCUGGUAUUUUCACCUUAUUGCUGUUUGGGUCAUCGCCUCGGACACAAUGCGGCGAUAGUAACAUUAAAUCAGAAAUGGAGCUUCUUUCCGGUUUUAGCUUGGUUCACCUUCUCCCCUUAUUGCUUUGGCGAACAUAGCAGGGCAGCGAAUAAUUAUAUUCCGGCCAUAGUAGCAACCAAGUCUGGAGUAUACAAUGCUUUGAUGGAUUUCAAUAACUCUCCGAAAACGCUGUAGCUCAUCCAACGCUUC